GGAAGGAUCAUUCACAACGAAAAAAACGAUGCAUAGGCGUUUAUAUAUAUGGCUUGUCCUUAUAUAUCUCCCGACUCAGCGUUUUUUUUUACCUUUACCUUCAUCUAAUCACCAAACUUAAUCGCAACUGAAUUAUAUACACGUAUAUUUAUAUAUGUAUAUGUGCCAUGUGUAUGUAUAUAUAUGUAUGUAUAACGGGUAUAUGUGCGUGGUGGACGUUGGGAAUGAAAUUGUUUUCAUUCCUAUCAUUCCGGUUCAGCUUGCUUGUAUUUACCAUCGUCCAUACGCACACACAUUUUUUUACAAACCACUGAUUAUGCUAUAUCUUAAUCAUUAAGACUAAUGCAUAUGUAUAUGUUUUUUUUUUAAACCUAUACUUAUGUUGUACUUACUUACUGUUACUUUUUUAUAUAUUUUAUCGUAUAUAAAAAAGAUACACAAAACGUAAAAAUAAUUGGAAGCACAACUCUUUACAAUGGAUAUCUUGGUUCUCGCACCGAUGAAGAACGCAGCGAAAUGCGAUAUGUAGUGCGAAUUGCAGAAUUCAGUGAAUCAUCGAAUCUUUGAACGCAAAUGGCGCUCUCGAGAUAGUCUUGAGAGCACGCUUCUCUGAGUAUCGUUUUUAAAAUCAAUUAUCUUCUAUCUCUCUGUUUUUUGGGAUGGGAAAAUGAGUAUCUGUUUUCGUUCUUUUUCGUUUCUUUUCGAAAAGAAAAUGAGAAUCAGAAUGGUUACUUCAAAUGAUAUUUUGGUUGUACAAUUCAAAAUUCAGUAAUGCUGGCUUAUUAUUAUUUUUUGCUCUUAUCCUUUUCGAUAUAUGCACCCCAUUAUUAAUAACGAUAAAUCCAGCAUAUAACACACACACGCCACCACGGCUAGUUGAUCGGUAGGUGAUCUUCAAGUCAUUUCCCAAGUCAAGCCGUGUUUCGGCCGUGUAUUGUUGUUAUUGUUUGUUUUGUUUAAAUGGCUGCACGUAGUAGAAAUAGUAAUAAUAUAUUAGUACUGAUCUGAUUAAACCGAAAAACUUGUAUAUAUUGCGCAUCCGAGUAAAUAAUAAAUAUUACCACGCUUACGUGUUGUAUUAUUAUUUUGUCUCUCAUGUUCCGUAUCUUCAAAAAAUUUCGAUCUCAGAUGAAGUGAGGUUACCCCCUGGAUUUAAGCAUAUUACUAAGGGGAGGAAAAGAAACUAACUAGGAUUCCCUCAGUAACGGCGAGUGAAGCGGGAAGAGCUCAAGCUGAAAAUCGAUGGGUUGGUGUGUCGUGGAUUUAUUCCAUCAUUUCCAAUCCAUCGAGUUGUAGCCUAGAGACGUGUAAUUAUAUUUAGUCAGCGUGUGCAGUCAGCUUAUUUGUAAGUCCCUUGAAACGGGGCAUCAGAGUGGGUGAGAAUCCCGUGUAUGAGCUGAAGUGUUAUAUUUUGCACCGCGUACGACGCACGGUUCAUCGAGUCGAGUUGUUUGGGAUUGCAGCUCGAAGUGGGUGGUAAGUUCCAUCCAAAGCUAAAAUAUGGGCGAGAGACCGAUAGCGAACAAGUACCGUAAGGGAAAGAUGAAAAGAACUUUUAAAAGAGAGUGAAAAAGUACUUGAAAUUGUGAAGAGGGAAGCGCUGAACACCAGUGCGAUUGCUCUCAGCUAUCUUGGCUGUUACGGGUUGACGGUUAAUGCUGUUCGUGUGUUGCCAAUGUUGGUGUUUUAUGUGUGUGACAUUCGUUAUAUAUGUAUAUUCGCCGCUUGGCUUCGUCAUGACAUUGUACCGUUACUGUUGGCAGUGUUCUGUUAGCUGAUUAAAAUAUUUUUCUGAGCCAGACAGGAUUCGUUCAUUCGUACAGAAUAGGCUUGUAAGGAGGUAGGGUGGAUUUCGAUUCACUUGUUAUAACUUGACGAGCUUGCUGUAGUGAGUGGACGGAGGACGUAUGUUACCCAUCUGAUAUCUCGCUCCCGAAAAGAAGUGGGUAUAAUGGAGUAAUGAUCCUGUCGAAAUGGUGUUCAUCGACCCGUCUUGAAACACGGACCAAGGAGUCUAACAACUGUGCGAGUGGUAGGGUUGUAAACCCCGCAUUACGCGUAAUGAAAGUAAAGCUGAAAGAUUUUAUAUUUUUUGGUGAGGUAGGAAUUUUCAUCCACCGUGGUGAAAUGCACUAUCGACCGAUCUUCACAAUAUUUCGUGUGAGAUUUGAGUUGGAGCACAAUUGUUGGGACCCGAAAGAUGGUGAUCUUUGCCUGCACAGGGCGAAGCCAGGAGAAAUUCUGGUGGAGGCUCGUAGCGAUACUGACGUGCAAAUCGUUCGUCUGAUGUGGGUAAAGGGGCGAAAGACUAAUCGAACUAUCUAGUAGCUGGUUCCCUC
rnacentral:misc_RNA from 1 species